GUAGGUGAACCUGCGGAAGGAUCAUUAACACGUAUCCAACGUUAAACAACCCUGCGAACCUUGAACGUGCUCUCGUACACGCUCUAGCAGCAAUCCCUGGUAAAUCAUUGUUGACCAGCUAUUGAGUCUGGGACUUCUGCUAGAAAACCAUACGAUACGAGCGCCAGAGUAAGUGCGGCCUGGCAUCCUAGCAAUCUGUCAGUGGUUGCGCAAGGAUGGCGCAGUAAACGAUCGCUGUAGGCCCACACGGCCGGCGACCGGGCCUCUGUGCUUCGGCACCUAAUGAUGACCCGGUGCGCUGUAACAACCGCACCACAAACUCGAACAACUGUUAACAAUGGAUAUCUUGGUUCCU
rnacentral:misc_RNA from 1 species